rnacentral:rRNA from 1 species
CGUGUAGGCGGUCAGGUAAGUGGAAUGUGAAAUGCCCCGGCUCACCCGGGGACCGGCAUCCCAAACUGCCUGGCCUGAGUAUGGGAGAGGAUGGAGGAAUUCCUGGUGUAGCGGUGAAAUGCGUAGAUAUCAGGAGGAACACCGGUGGCGAAGGCGUCCAUCUGGCCCAAUACUGACGCUGAGGCGCGAAAGCUAGGGGAGCAAACG